rnacentral:rRNA from 1 species
GACGAACGCUGGCGGCGUGCCUAAUACAUGCAAGUCGAGCGGACGAAUCGAAAGCUUGCUUUUGAUUCGUUAGCGGCGGACGGGUGAGUAACACGUGGGCAACCUGCCCUGUAGACUGGGAUAACACCGAGAAAUCGGUGCUAAUACCGGAUAACACUAAAUGUCGCAUGACGUUUCGUUGAAAGACGGCCCCAGCUGUCGCUACAGGAUGGGCCCGCGGCGCAUUAGCUAGUUGGUGAGGUAACGGCUCACCAAGGCGACGAUGCGUAGCCGACCUGAGAGGGUGAUCGGCCACACUGGGACUGAGACACGGCCCAGACUCCUACGGGAGGCAGCAGUAGGGAAUCUUCCGCAAUGGACGAAAGUCUGACGGAGCAACGCCGCGUGAGCGAAGAAGGCCUUCGGGUCGUAAAGCUCUGUUGUUAGGGAAGAACAAGUAACGCAGUAACUGGCGUUACCGUGACGGUACCUAACGAGAAAGCCACGGCUAACUACGUG